GACGAACGCUGGCGGUGUGCUUCACACAUGCAAGUCGAACGAGGUAGCAAUACCUAGUGGCGGACGGGUGAGUAACGCGUGGGAAUCUGCCUUUAGAUGGGGGAUAACGGGUCGAAAGACUCGCUAAUACCGCAUAUGACGAAAGUUGAAAGGAGUAAUCCGUCUAAAGAUGAGCCCGCGUCCGAUUAGCUAGUUGGUAGAGUAAAAGCCUACCAAGGCGACGAUCGGUAGCUGGUCUGAGAGGAUGAUCAGCCACAAUAGGGAACUGAGACACGGCCCAUACUCCUACGGAGCAGCAGUGGGAAUUUUACGCAAUGGGGGAAACCCUGACGUAGCGACACCGCGUGAGCGAAGAAGCCCCUGGGGUGUAAAGCUCUGUCAGCUGGAACGAAAAAAAUGACGUACCAGCAGAGGAAGCAUCGGCUAACUACGUGCCAGC
rnacentral:rRNA from 1 species